rnacentral:rRNA from 1 species
GACGAACGCUGGCGGCGUGCUUAACACAUGCAAGUCGAACGGAAAGGCCCUGCUUUUGUUGCUUUCUCGAUUGGCGAACGGGUGAGUAACACGUGUGUAACCUCCCCUUGACUUUGUGAUAACUUCAGGAAACUGGGGCUAAUAUCGGAUAUGAUCUCCUGCUGCAUGUUGGUGGUUGGAAAGUUUCGGCUGUUGGGGAUGGACUCGAGGCUUAUCAGCUUGUUGGUGGGGUAGUGGCUUACCAAGGCUUUGACGGGUAGCCGGCCUGAGAGGGUUACCGGCGACAUUGGGACUGAGAGACGGACCAGACUCCUACGGGACGCAGAAGUGGGGAAUCUUGCACAAUGGGCGGAAGCCUGAUGCAGAAACGUCGCGUGCGGGAUGCCGGGCUUUGGGUUGUAAACCGCUUUCGAAUGUGACGAAGAGUGAGUGACGGUAAUGGGUCAAGAAGCCCCGGCUAACUACGUG